rnacentral:rRNA from 1 species
CAGUCGAGCGGACUUUUAAAGCUUGCUUUUGAAAGGUCAGCGGCGGACGGGUGAGUAACACGUGGGCAACCUGCCUGUAAGACUGGGAUAACUUCGGGAAACCGGAGCUAAUACCGGAUAAUAUAAGGAACCUCCUGGUUCUUUAUUGAAAGAUGGUUUCGGCUAUCACUUACAGAUGGGCCCGCGGCGCAUUAGCUAGUUGGUGAGGUAAUGGCUCACCAAGGCGACGAUGCGUAGCCGACCUGAGAGGGUGAUCGGCCACACUGGGACUGAGACACGGCCCAGACUCCUACGGGAGGCAGCAGUAGGGAAUCUUCCACAAUGGACGAAAGUCUGAUGGAGCAACGCCGCGUGAGCGAUGAAGGCCUUCGGGUCGUAAAGCUCUGUUGUUAGGGAAGAACAAGUGCGAGAGUAACUGCUCGCACCUUGACGGUACCUAACCAGAAAGCCACGGCUAACUACGUGCCAGCAGCCGCGGUAAUACGUAGGUGGCAAGCGUUGUCCGGAAUUAUUGGGCGUAAAGCGCGCGCAGGUGGUCCUUUAAGUCUGAUGUGAAAGCCCACGGCUCAACCGUGGAGGGUCAUUGGAAA